GGGCUCACUUAGGCAGCACAUACACUAAAAUUGGAAUGAUACAGAGAAGAUUAGUUUGGCACCUGUGCAGGGAUGAUAUGCAAAUUCAUGAAGCAUUCCAUAUUUUU
rnacentral:snRNA from 1 species